rnacentral:rRNA from 1 species
GACGCCGCGUGAGGGAUGAAGGCCUUCGGGUUGUAAACCUCUUUCCCUUGUGAAGAAGCCGGUCUUUGGGGUUGGUGACGGUACCUGCCUAAGAAGCGCCGGCUAACUACUUGCCAGCAGCCGCGGUAAUACGUAGGGCGCAAGCGUUAUCCGGAAUUAUUGGGCGUAAAGAGCUCGUAGGCGGUUUGUCGCGUCUGCCGUGAAAGUCCGGGGCUUAACUCCGGAUCUGCGGUGGGUACGGGCAGACUAGAGUGCAGUAGGGGAGACUGGAAUUCCUGGUGUAGCGGUGAAAUGCGCAGAUAUCAGGAGGAACACCGAUGGCGAAGGCAGGUCUCUGGGCUGUAACUGACGCUGAGGAGCGAAAGCAUGGGGAGCGAACAGGAUUAGAUACCCUGGUAGUCCAUGCCGUAAACGUUGGGCACUAGGUGUGGGGGACAUUCCACGUUUUCCGCGCCGUAGCUAACGCAUUAAGUGCCCCGCCUGGGGAGUACGGCCGCAAGGCUAAAACUCAAAUGAAUUGACGGGG